UGAACACAAAGAUACAUGCCCG
rnacentral:miRNA from 1 species